ACCCUUAGAUGUUCUGGGCCGCACGCGCGCUACACUGAAUGGAUCAGCGUGUUUUCCCUUCCCGAGAGGGACGGGUAACCCGCUGAACCCCAUUCGUGGUAGGGAUCGGAGCUUGCAAUUGUUCUCCGUGAACCAGGAAUUCCCAGUAAGCGUAAGUCAUAAGCUUGCGUUGAUUACGUCCCUGCCCUUUGUACACACCGCCCGUCGCUACUACCGAUUGAACGUUUUAGUGAGGUAUUUGGACUGGACCUUCGGAGGUUUGCGCCUCCGUUGCUGUUCGGGAAGACUCCCAAACUUGAGCGUUUAGAGGAAGUAAAAGUCGUAACA
rnacentral:rRNA from 1 species